rnacentral:sRNA from 12 species
UAAGCUCUGUCAAAUCGAAGCCCCAAGUUCCUACUUGGGAGGAUAGUAGAAAUGAUGGGGCUUA